AUGCAGCAAAGACAACAAGCAAAACAGUCCAAAAACUGCAAACAAAUCUGCUAUAAACCAGUCCACAGCCUGCAAAAAUCUGCAUCAAAACAGCCCAGCAUUUGCAUCAAUAUGGCUAAAGAAAAUUGUAUGAACAAAGCAUCAAAACAGUUUGUCAAAAUAGUUCAAAUGUUCUACUGUUUUCCCCCCUUAAAUGCUUUGUUCUUUCACUAUAAAAAGCCCCUUCAUGAACAGAAAUAA